ACAUAUUCUUGAUGUGGAUUUAUUACUUGAUUGGAUUAUAGAUGUAGUUGUACUCAUCUUUUCUUUUUUUUGUUCAUAUAUGUAUGAGGAAAUUAGAAACAAGUUCAAAGGUCUUGCUUUUUUUUCUUUUCUCAAUAUCUUUGAUUCUAUAUCAAAUUUUCUUCAUAAUUAAUUCUCCUUUGUCAAUGUUGAUAUUGUAGUUAACAAUCACAAGAAGGACAAAUAACUGAAGAAGAAAAUUGUAAAGGCCAGGGUGCGAAAGGGAUCACCGAUUUGAAAUCAGCACUUCAAGUAAACAGUAGAAACAUAAUUUUUUUUGCACAAAGUUGGAAAGGAUAUAGCAGUUGUUACAGACUAAUUUUUGGAAACGUAGACUAGCAUAUUCACCUAGGGUGAGUGGACUCUCCUGCUUUUGCUUUUGCUUUUUCUUUUGCUUCUGUUUUCAUUUCCGUGCGAUUUCAAAUCUCCCCAUGCCUAUAGUUGGGAAAUUAUGUCCAAUGAGCUUAUAAUUCGAAAGUUCUCAAUAUUUGGUCUCUGGAUAA